rnacentral:rRNA from 1 species
GUCCACGCCGUAAACGAUGAGUGCUAGGUGCUGUGGGUAUUGACCCCGCGGUGCCGCAGCCAACGCGUUAAGCACUCCGCCUGGGGAGUACGGCCGCAAGGCUAAAACUCAAAGGAAUUGACGGGGCCCGCACAAGCGGUGGAGCAUGUGGUUCAAUUCGACGCAACGCGCAGAACCUUACCUGGGUUAAAUCCACCAGAACCUUGCAGAGAUGCAGGGGUGCCUUUCGGGGAACUGGUGAGAAGGUGCUGCAUGGCUGUCGU